rnacentral:tRNA from 1 species
GCCCUCGUGGUGAAAUGGACAUCACACCAGGCUUCGGACCUGGUAUUCCGGGUUCAAAUCCUGGCGAGGGCG